GUCGCCCUCCGGCGGGGAGCGCGCCUCGGGCGGGGCGCGGCACGGCGCCGCGGGAUUGGGCGGCCUCCGAUGCCCGCGGCGGGCAGGGGGCUCGCGGCGCUUCGGCGCAUGUGCGGCGCGCUGGCCGGCGAGGCGCGGGCUGUCAGUGAGCCGCGAGGAGCCGGCGCCCCGUGCCCGCGUCUGUGCGCCCGCUCGCCCACCCGUCCGCCUGCAGCGGGGCUGCGAGUCCGCCCUGCGCGCGCUCGCGGAGCAUCGCCGGCCGUGCACCUGCCCCGCGCACCUGUCCGCCGCCCUCCGCCGGGCCCUGUGCCGGGCUCCGCUAGCGCCAGCCGCCCAGACACCGCGCGGGCCCCGGCCCGGCCCUGCCCCCGCGGCCGCCCCGCGCCGCGGCCGGGCCGGGCGCAGCGCUGCGGAGGCGAGGGCCGUGGGUCCGGGUUCGCGCGGCGCGGCGAUGAUGAACAGGUUCCGAAAGUGGCUGUACAAACCCAAGAGGUCGGACCCGCAGCUGCUCGCCCAGUUCUACUAUGCGGACGAGGAGCUGAACCAGGUGGCCGCUGAGCUGGACAGUCUGGACGGGCGGAAGGACCCGCAGCGGUGCACACUGCUCGUCAGCCAGUUUCGCUCCUGUCAGGACAACGUGUUAAACAUCAUUAAUCAGAUCAUGGACGUAUGCAUCCCCCAGGACCGAGCCCCGCGGGAUUUCUGCGUCAAGUUCCCUGAGGAAAUCCGGCACGACAACCUGGCAGGCCAGCUGUGGUUCGGUGCUGAGUGCCUGGCCGCCGGCUCCAUCAUCAUGAACCGCGAGCUGGAGAGCAUGGCCAUGCGCCCACUGGCCAAGGAGCUGACCCGCAGCCUGGAGGAUGUGCGGGGUGCCCUCCGCGAUCAGGCGCUGCGGGACCUCAACACCUACACGGAGAAGAUGAGGGAGGCGCUGAGGCACUUCGACGUCCUGUUUGCCGAGUUCGAGCUGAGCUACGUCUCCGCCAUGGUGCCUGUGAAGUCCCCCAGGGAGUACUAUGUGCAGCAGGAGGUCAUCGUGCUGUUCUGCGAGACCGUGGAGAGGGCCCUGGACUUCGGGUACCUGACCCAGGACAUGAUUGACGACUACGAACCAGCCCUCAUGUUUACCAUCCCCAGGUUGGCCAUCGUGUGUGGCCUCGUGGUCUACGCAGACGGACCCCUGAACUUGGACCGCAAGGCAGAAGACAUGUCUGAGCUAUUCCGACCCUUCCACACCUUGCUGCGGAAAAUAAGGGAUUUGCUGCAGACCCUGACCGAGGACGAGCUUCACACGCUGGAAAGGAACCUCUGCAUUUCCCAAGACGUGGAGUUCCCCAUCCGUGCAGACACCCAGGUGCCCCCAGCCCUGGCACCGGCCUUCCCCUCACCCCUUCCCGCCGAGGAGCUGCUCUCAACCAAGGCCAAGAACCCGGAGGCGGAGCUGGCUUGCUCCAUGCAGUACGACGACCAGGAGCUGGAGCAGCUCAACCGCAUGGUCCACAGGGCGGGGGACGAGAUGUCAUCCCUCCUCUCCCCGCCCAGUGCCUGCCAGUCCCCAGCACGCCGGCCAGGGGUGGAGGGCAGCCCCCAUGGGGAGGCGUCCCCAGGCAGUGCACGGCUGCGGCCGGGCAGCGACGAGGAGGAAGGAAGGGUGUUCUUCAUGGAUGACGUGGAGGGGGCCGCAGAGGCCCCGGGCGGCUCGUCCGGGUGGGCGGGCAGCACCAGUGCUGACCCCCAGGAGAGAGGGCAGGGCGGGGGGCGCGGAGAGGCGGAGGAGGGGGACCUGAGCAAUAACAAUGACGUCCCUCACGACAAGAUGUGGGCGCUGGGCCCCAACUCCUGCAGCUGCCUGGAUGGGCAGCCGCACCUGGACGGCUGGGAGGGGGGCGUGGACGCCGCGGAGACGGCCGAGAUGAUCGCCCACCGGACCGGGGGCAUGAAGCUCUCAGCCACCGUCAUCUUCAACCCCAAGUCAACGCCCGCCGUGGGCUCUGCCGUCUCUGCCACGGAAGCCUCCAGGGACGGUGUCUCCCCGUCGGAGCCUGCAGCCGAGGGGACAGACGGUGGCUCCCACAAACUCAGCACCGCGGCCACCAGCUGCCUCCUUAACUCCUGCGUGUGCUGCGGGGGCUGUGGGGGCGGCAGGGAGGACGCCGCCGCCCAGAGUCUGCGGGACAAGUGCGGCCGGGGAAGCGUCAUCAGCACCUCUGAGCUCGGCUCCGCCAAGGGCCCAGCCCAGAGACAGGAGGAGGCCCGGCCUGUGCUGGAGGCACUGCCCUCAGAGGACGCCCCCACUUCCAAGUGCCUGACACACACCUCGGGGCCUCAGCUGGACACCGCAGACGGGUCACCUGGAGCGGACAAUGGCAUGGCUGGGCCGCAGGACAAGGGGCAGCCCUCGAAGGCCAGGGUGGAAAGUCAGCAGGGAGAGGCGGCCGAGGAGGAGCCUCAGCGCCUGUCGGGCUCCAGCUGUUUUUGAGAUGCAAGCGCAGCCACGUCUGGAGGAAUGAAUUAUUGUCACAACGCGCUGGACAGCUUUCUUCCUCAGGGCCCGCCGCACAGGGUUGAUUAUUGCCGGUGGACACCUACUCUGUCUCCUGCUUUCCUGACAUUUCCCACGGUGGACACCGCUCGUUUGCGUUAUGAAGAUGGCUUCCCGGGCCCCAUCCAGCUUCGCUCAAACGCUGAAGCUGAGCUGAGCAGAGGAAAGAGAAGCCCCACCGUGGCCUUGAGACAGUCCCAUCUUCCCGGGAAGCUUUAUCCAGAAGGUGCAGAGGGCCUGAGGAGGGAAGAAUGUGGCAGGUGGCUGGUGAUCAGGACAGCCAUGCGUCUGGGCCAGGGCCUUGGACAGCGGUGCCCCCCUCCCCCCGGCGCCAGGGGCAGCCGGAAUCAAGUCAGCCAGGUGUCGGCAGAUGGGGCCCGUGGUCCACCAGCCGCAAAUAUGACAGGAGCACCAUUCCCUCACGUCACAAGCUGACCUCAUGGAGCGUGAUCUAAUAGUAAUGCUGGAGGUGACAGUCACAAAAGACCAACCUCACACAGGCGGAACGUUUACCCGGAUUCCAGCGGGGAGAUUCCUGAAAGUCGGGUGUUGCUGUCCUCAUGAUGUCUCGAGGCUUCACGAUGGAGACCGCGGGGCUCGAGUGCAGGGGCAGCCUGCAGAUGGGGAGGCUGGUGUCUGCGUCGGCUCAGACUGCCCAGAGAGGUGGCUGGCCUGCAGCCUCCUGCCUGUCUGCCCCCCGCAGGUGCCUCUGCAGUGGGGACCGGCGGUGGCGGGAGGAGUGAGCAGCGGGUGUGGUGCUGGGCUCGUGAGCUCCCGGUCCCGUGGUCCCUCGAGGAGGUCACUCAGGCACAGCCUCACACCUCUGCGCGCCACACAGAGCUGGUCCAGGCAGGAAGCGCAUGGAGCUGUGACAGAGGUCUGCUCAUCCCGAGGACACAGGGAGUGGAUUUUCCUGGUCAAGCAGAAGCCAGGUGGAAGGACCGGGCACUGGGCUCUCUGCCAGGCUGGCCAGAGGGUCUGGGCUGGAGAGGCGCCCUCUGGGGCAUUCCCCCAGGCCCUACAUUCAACCCGCUGCACCACAGACCAAUUCCAUCAGUGCUGUUGCCAGGUGCUGAGACAUGGCCCCCUGAAGAGUCCUGGAAAGAAUGUUCUAGAACCAUGCGUUCUUCAGCUCUUUUUACUGGCCUCUCUCCUGCCUUUUCAGGAAAAGUUAGGAUCUUUUUAAAGGGAAAGUUAGCAUUUUUAAAAAGAUUGUCGUUCCCUGUCUAGACUUACCUCACUGUUCCAGAACCUUCCAUGCUCUUAAAGCCUGAAUAAGCCACUUGUCUACAGCGUGGAGGCUCGGCCUGCCUCACAUCUGUUUGUCCUUUCCACGGACAUUUGACCAGAGUGUUUCCAUCCUGCUGCCUUCUUUAAAAAAUACCAUAGGGUUGGGGCGCCUGGGUGGCUCAGUCGUUAAGCGUCUGCCUUCGGCUCAGGUCAUGAUCCCGGAGUCCCACAUCGGGCUCCCUGCUCGGCGGGAAGCCUGCUUCUCCCUCUCCCACUCCCCCUGCUUGUGUUCCCUCUCUCGCUGUGUCUCUCUCUGUCAAAUAAAUAAAAUCUUUAAAAAAAAAAAAAAUACCAUGGGCUCUCUUUUUCUUACUAUAAACGUGGUCCCCGUUCAUCAUAGAAACUCUGAAAACGUUAGAAGAACAACAGAAGGAAAUAAAAAUCACCCCGAAUCUUUUGAGCAGUUUUAUUUUUUUCACUACAUAUUAUGACCAUUUCUCUGUAAAGCGCUUAAAAAAUACUAUUUCCAUUGAAUUCUACUGUAUCCUAAGGACAUAAGGACAUAGCUAGUUUAUUCUACAUUUUCCCGUUUCCGUGUGUUUUUCCAUGCUAGGUUAGCCUGUGGCCCCUCUCCCUUAGGGUUCUGUGUCUGCCCCUGGGGUUAUGUCUUUAGAGCGGAUCCUUGGGUCACCAUGGCAAAGGCGCCACUUACCGCCACGUAAGGUCAGAUUGCUCUCCAGACAUGCACCCAUUUAUCAAUUCAUCAUAGCAAGGUGCCCCCCUCCCCCCGAGACUUGAGAGGCAAAACACAACGCCCUGGUUGCUGUAGUUGGCUUUCCUCUGAUGAUUGGUACCCUGGGUACUUCUUCCUUCGUGUGCAAAGCGACCACUCCUGUCUUCUGCCUGUUUUCUGACUGGGUUUUCAUGACUUGUUUACUGACUUGAAAGCGUUCCUUCUGUCUGGUGU